rfam:Triticum aestivum genome assembly, contig: Triticum_aestivum_CS42_TGACv1_scaffold_130792_2BL
GUAUUACUCCCUCCGUUCGGAAUUACUUGUCUCGGAAAUGGAUGUAUCUAGAUGUAUUUUAAUUCUAGAUACCUCCAUUUCCGAGACAAGUAAUUCCGAACGGAGGGAUUAUCUU